UACGGAGGGUGCGAGCGUUGUCCGGAAUUACUGGGCGUAAAGGGCGCGUAGGCGGCCAUCUAAGUCAGACGUGAAAUCCCUCGGCUCAACCGAGGAACUGCGUCUGAUACUGGAAGGCUUGAAUCCGGGAGAGGGAUGUGGAAUUCCAGGUGUAGCGGUGAAAUGCGUAGAUAUCUGGAGGAACACCGGUGGCGAAGGCGGCAUCCUGGACCGGUAUUGACGCUGAGGCGCGAAAGCUAGGGGAGCAAACGGG
rnacentral:rRNA from 1 species